rnacentral:tRNA from 1 species
GCCUUGUGGUGUACAGCACAUAAAAUUGCAAAUUUUAAAGAGCAAAAUAACUCUGCCGGGGUUU